GAUGAAGAACGCAGCGAAAUGCGAUACGUAAUGUGAAUUGCAAAUUCAGUGAAUCAUCGAGUCUUUGAACGCACAUUGCGCCCCCUGGUAUUCCGGGGUGCAUGCCUGUCCGAGCGUCAUUGCUGCCCUCAAGCACGGCUUGUGUGUUGGGCCCCGUCCUCCGAUUCCGGGGGACGGGCCCGAAAGGCAGCGGCGGCACCGCGUCCGGUCCUCGAGCGUAUGGGGCUUUGUCACCCGCUCUGUAGGCCCGGCCGGCGCUUGCCGAUCAACCCAAAUUUUUAUCCAGGUUGACCUCGGAUCAGGUAGGGAUACCCGCUGAACUUAAGCAUAUCAAUAAGCGGAGGA
rnacentral:misc_RNA from 1 species